rnacentral:rRNA from 1 species
CCUACGGGAGGCAGCAGUGGGGAAUAUUGGACAAUGGGCGAAAGCCUGAUCCAGCCAUGCCGCGUGUGUGAAGAAGGUCUUCGGAUUGUAAAGCACUUUAAGUUGGGAGGAAGGGUUGUAGAUUAAUACUCUGCAAUUUUGACGUUACCGACAGAAUAAGCACCGGCUAACUCUGUGCCAG